rnacentral:rRNA from 1 species
UACGAAGGGGGCGAGCGUUGUUCGGAUUUACUGGGCGUAAAGGGCGCGUAGGCGGCUCAUUUUGUCAGGCGUGAAAGCCCCGGGCUUAACCUGGGAACUGCGUUUGAUACGGAUGGGCUAGAGUUCGGGAGAGGAGAGUGGAAUUCCCAGUGUAGAGGUGAAAUUCGUAGAUAUUGGGAAGAACACCGGUGGCGAAGGCGGCGACCUGGUCCGAUACUGACGCUGAGGCGCGAAAGCGUGGGGAGCAAACAGG